rnacentral:rRNA from 1 species
CCUACGGGAGGCAGCAGUGAGGAAUAUUGGUCAAUGGGCGCGAGCCUGAACCAGCCAAGUAGCGUGAAGGAUGACUGCCCUACGGGUGGUAAACUUCUUUUAUAAAGGAAUAAAGUGAGGCACGUGUGCCUUUUUGUAUGUACUUUAUGAAUAAGGAUCGGCUAACUCCGUGCCAGCAGCCGCGGUAAUACGGAGGAUCCGAGCGUUAUCCGGAUUUAUUGGGUUUAAAGGGUGCGUAGGCGGCCUUUUAAGUCAGCGGUGAAAGUCUGUGGCUCAACCAUAGAAUUGCCGUUGAAACUGGAGAGCUUGAGUAUGUUUGAGGCAGGCGGAAUGCGUGGUGUAGCGGUGAAAUGCUUAGAGAUCAUACAGAACACCGAUUGCGAAGGCAGCUUACCAAUCUAUAUCUGACGUUGAGGCACGAAAGCGUGGGGAGCAAACAGGAUUAGAUACCCCAGUAGUC